GCCCCCGUCGUUCAACGGACAGGACGGCAGGCUUCUAUCCUGCUAAUGUAGGUUCGAUUCCUACCGGGGGCA
rnacentral:tRNA from 1 species